rnacentral:misc_RNA from 1 species
GUCGAGGUUUCCGCUAGGGUUUCCAUUUCCCCCAGUUUCUCAGCUGAAUCGGAGAGAGAUGGAGACGUCUCUGAGGUGCGGCGGCGACCCCCGAUCUCUCAAAAUCCAUGCCAAGGAGAAGUUCUUCGUCGACUCCAAAACCCUCGUCCAGGCUCAAGGAGAAAUAGAUACCUGCACUGCGACCCCAACUUAUCUUGCUCUGAUUUUUAGAAAUUUCUAUCCCGAGCUAUCUGCUAGCAU